rnacentral:rRNA from 1 species
CAGCAGCCGCGGUAAUACGUAGGUCCCGAGCGUUGUCCGGAUUUAUUGGGCGUAAAGCGAGCGCAGGCGGUUAGAUAAGUCUGAAGUUAAAGGCUGUGGCUUAACCAUAGUACGCUUUGGAAACUGUUUAACUUGAGUGCAAGAGGGGAGAGUGGAAUUCCAUGUGUAGCGGUGAAAUGCGUAGAUAUAUGGAGGAACACCGGUGGCGAAAGCGGCUCUCUGGCUUGUAACUGACGCUGAGGCUCGAAAGCGUGGGGAGCAAACAGGAUUAGAUACCCCAGUAGUCCCUGUCUCUUAUACC